GAAAGGAUGGCUAAUACCGCAUAAGACCUGAGGGUGAAAGCCGGGGACCGCAAGGCCCGGCGCAGACGGAGCGGCCGAUGAUUGAUUAGCUAGUUGGGGAGGUAAAGGCUCACCAAGGCGACGAUCAAUAGCUGGUCUGAGAGGACGACCAGCCACACUGGAACUGAGACACGGUCCAGACUCCUACGGGAGGCAGCAGUGGGGAAUUUUGGACAAUGGGGGCAACCCUGAUCCAGCCAUGCCGCGUGCGGGAAGAAGGCCUUCGGGUUGUAAACCGCUUUUGUCAGGGACGAAAAGCUCCGGAGUAAUAUGCCGGAGUGCUGACGGUACCUGAAGAAUAAGCACCGGCUAACUACGUGCCAGCAGCCGCGGUAAUACGUAGGGUGCAAGCGUUAAUCGGAAUUACUGGGCGUAAAGCGUGCGCAGGCGGUUGGGUAAGACAGAUGUGAAAUCCCCGGGCUUAACCUGGGAACUGCAUUUGUGACUGUCCGACUGGAGUACGUCAGAGGGGGGUGGAAUUCCACGUGUAGCAGUGAAAUGCGUAGAUAUGUGGAAGAACACCGAUGGCGAAGGCAGCCCCCUGGGACGCAACUGACGCUCAUGCACGAAAGCGUGGGGAGCAAACAGGAUUAGAUACCCUGGUAGUCCACGCCCUAAACGAUGUGUGCUGGUUGUUGGGAAUUUAAUUCUCAGUAAC
rnacentral:rRNA from 1 species